AGCGCACACGGUGGAUGCCUAGGCGGUCAGAGGCGAUGAAGGACGUGGUAGCCUGCGAAAAGUGUCGGGGAGCUGGCAACAAGCUUUGAUCCGGCAAUAUCCGAAUGGGGAAACCCACUGCUUCGGCAGUAUCCUGCAGUGAAUUCAUAGCUGCUGGAAGCGAACCCGGUGAACUGAAAUAUCUAAGUAACCGGAGGAAAAGAAAUCAACCGAGAUUCCCUAAGUAGUGACGAGCGAACGGGGAGCAGCCCUUAAGCUGGAAUGGCUUUAGAAAAACAAUCUGGAAAGAUUGGCCAUAGAAGGUGAUAGCCCUGUAUUUAAAAGGGCCACUCCAGUGAAGACGAGUAGGGCGGGGCACGUGAAACCCUGUCUGAAUAUGGGGGGACCAUCCUCCAAGGCUAAAUACUCCUGACCGACCGAUAGUGAACCAGUACCGUGAGGGAAAGGCGAAAAGAACCCCGGAGAGGGGAGUGAAAUAGAUCCUGAAACCGUGUGCGUACAAGCAGUAGGAGCUCGCAAGAGUGACUGCGUACCUUUUGUAUAAUGGGUCAGCGACUUACUGUUCGUGGCAAGCUUAACCGUAUAGGGGAGGCGAAGGGAAACCGAGUCUGAUAAGGGCGCAUAGUCGCGGGCAGUAGACCCGAAACCGGGUGAUCUAGUCAUGGCCAGGGUGAAGGUGCCGUAACAGGUACUGGAGGCCCGAACCCACGUCUGUUGCAAAAGACGGGGAUGAGCUGUGAUUAGGAGUGAAAAGCUAAUCGAACCCGGAGAUAGCUGGUUCUCCUCGAAAGCUAUUUAGGUAGCGCCUCGGACGAAUACUACUGGGGGUAGAGCACUGUUAUGGCUAGGGGGUCAUCGCGACUUACCAAACCAUUGCAAACUCCGAAUACCAGUACGUACUAUCCGGGAGACACACGGCGGGUGCUAACGUCCGUCGUGAAAAGGGAAACAACCCAGACCCACAGCUAAGGUCCCAAAUUCACUGCUAAGUGGAAAACGAUGUGGAAAGGCAUAGACAGCCAGGAGGUUGGCUUAGAAGCAGCCACCCUUUAAAGAAAGCGUAAUAGCUCACUGGUCGAGUCGGUCUGCGCGGAAGAUUUAACGGGGCUAAGCAGUGAACCGAAGCUUGGGGUGCAUAAAACGUGUUUUAUGCGCGGUAGAGGAGCGUUCCGUAAGCCUGCGAAGGUGGAUUGAGAAGUCUGCUGGAGGUAUCGGAAGUGCGAAUGCUGACAUGAGUAACGAUAAUGCGGGUGAAAAGCCCGCACGCCGAAAGCCCAAGGUUUCCUUGCGCAACGUUAAUCGACGCAGGGUUAGUCGGUCCCUAAGGCGAGGGCGAAAGCCGUAGUCGAUGGGAAGCAGGUUAAUAUUCCUGCACCUCGCGUGAGUGCGAUGGAGGGACGGAGAAGGUUAGGUGUACCGGGCGUUGGUUGUCCCGGGGAAAGGCGGUAGGUUUGGAUCUUUGGCAAAUCCGGGAUCCUUUAAGACCGAGCACCGAGACGAGCCUUUAUGGCGAAGUCACUGAUACCACGCUUCCAGGAAAAGCUCCUAAGCUUCAGCUCACGAAGACCGUACCGUAAACCGACACAGGUGGGUAGGAUGAGAAUUCUCAGGCGCUUGAGAGAACUCGGGUGAAGGAACUAGGCAACAUGGCACCGUAACUUCGGGAGAAGGUGCACCCUUUUUGGUGGCUCAUGCGAGCUAUAGCUGAAGAGGGUCGCAGAAACCAGGCCGCUGCGACUGUUUAUCAAAAACACAGCACUCUGCAAACACGAAAGUGGACGUAUAGGGUGUGACGCCUGCCCGGUGCUGGAAGGUUAAUUGAUGGGGUCAGCCGCAAGGCGAAGCUCUUGAUCGAAGCCCCAGUAAACGGCGGCCGUAACUAUAACGGUCCUAAGGUAGCGAAAUUCCUUGUCGGGUAAGUUCCGACCUGCACGAAUGGCGUAACGACAGCGGCGCUGUCUCCACCCGAGACUCAGUGAAAUUGAAAUCGCUGUGAAGAUGCAGCGUUCCCGUGGCAAGACGGAAAGACCCCGUGAACCUUUACUAUAGCUUUACACUGAACGUUGAGUUCGUCUGUGUAGGAUAGGUGGGAGGCUAUGAAACUGUGGCGCUAGCUGCAGUGGAGCCAUCCUUGAAAUACCACCCUGUCGUGCUUGACGUUCUAACCUAGGUCCGUUAUCCGGAUCAGGGACCGUGUAUGGUGGGUAGUUUGACUGGGGCGGUCUCCUCCUAAAGAGUAACGGAGGAGCACGAAGGUACGCUCAGCGCGGUCGGACAUCGCGCACUGUGUGCAAAGGCAUAAGCGUGCUUGACUGCAAGAUCGACGGAUCAAGCAGGUACGAAAGUAGGUCUUAGUGAUCCGGUGGUUCUGUAUGGAAGGGCCAUCGCUCAACGGAUAAAAGGUACUCCGGGGAUAACAGGCUGAUACCGCCCAAGAGUUCAUAUCGACGGCGGUGUUUGGCACCUCGAUGUCGGCUCAUCACAUCCUGGGGCUGUAGUCGGUCCCAAGGGUAUGGCUGUUCGCCAUUUAAAGUGGUACGCGAGCUGGGUUCAGAACGUCGUGAGACAGUUCGGUCCCUAUCUGCCAUGGGCGUUGGAAGUUUGAGAGGGGCUGCUCCUAGUACGAGAGGACCGGAGUGGACGAACCUCUGGUGUUCCGGUUGUCACGCCAGUGGCAUUGCCGGGUAGCUAUGUUCGGAAGCGAUAACCGCUGAAAGCAUCUAAGCGGGAAGCGCGCCUCAAGAUGAGACUUCCCGGGGCACAAGCCCCCUAAAGGAACCAUGUAGACUACGUGGUUGA
rnacentral:rRNA from 1 species